CGGCCCCGGAAGGGGCUGGGCUCCUCCUCCUCCGUCCCUUCUUCAUCCUCCGUCCCCGCGGAGUAGAAGCUGUGGCGACUCCGGGUCUCCACAGCCCCAGUGCCUGCAGAGAAGAUGAGAAGACAGAGGCUUAAGAGAGGUUAAGACUUGCGCAGGGUCCCACAGCUGUGAAGCUCUGAGGCUAGAAGUCCCUAGAGGUUUGUUGGAAUCCAGAGUCCAGUGAUUAUCCAUUGAGCUACACUUCUUCCCUUGUCCAGCUGCCCUUCAACUCCCUGCACCUGUGCCCUCACCUCUCUGUGGGGAUAAACGUAGUCCUUACUACCAGUGACUGCAUAAGGGUCACAUAAAGAGCUGGAAAGUGCUAAGUUGAAAGGGCGUGGUGGAUCAUUAUGCAAAGAGGUGUGUCCUGAGUUUGACCGACGUAGGUACUGUGUGCCAUCUCCCGAACUCCUGCCAACCCCACCCCCAUACGCAGUCCAGCAAAGACCUAGAACACUCCCAGGAGCAAAAUCCAGAACUAAGUAUAGAGUGAAAGACAGGCAUGGAAGAAGUGCAGGGGGCCAGCGUCCACAGGGAGGCGUUUUGGAGAAACUAAGAUCUAGACCCGGUCUUGAAACCAGGGGUAACUGUCUCAUCCCCUCCCAAAAGGCCUGUGGGUCAGCUCCAGGGCUGCUGGGCCUCCAAGGGUCCCAUCUCCAGACACAUGGCUGAGAAAGCCAAAAAGGGAAGAGGGGGCUGGAUCCAGAAAGGCCUAGGCUAAGCGGGUGGUCAGAGCUCCUGGGCGUCACCAAAGCCUGAGGUCAGGUAGGUAGGGAGACCAUAAAGCCUUUGAGGAGUGAGUUGGCAGUGGGGAACGGGCAGCUAAAUCAGCAGCUGGGAUUGGGCGUGGGGGCUAAGGAGCUGAGAGCAGCAAGACCCCUGAUGAGAAUAGGCCCAUCUGCAGAGCGCUGACCAGUUCCGUGAGGCGUGGGCAGCAGGGCCGGGGUCCCCACCACCACCUUCCUGCUUUGUGACCUGGGACCUUUUCUUUAAUCCCUUGGGGCCUCAGUGUAGUCCUCUGUGAAAUGGACCCCAGACCCCAGGACCUCCACAAGAACAAAUGACACAGGGAGAGCACCCAGUUCUGCAUUUUUCAUGUCCUGCAGGCUCCCAGCUUCCCAGUGAAGCAGAGGCCAAGUUCUCCCUAUUUCACACAUGAGGAAGUAGAAGCACAGAGAGGUUAGGAACUUGCCCAGGGUCGCACAGCUGGUACACCCUGCCCGGUCACUUAAAUGCUUAGGAAACAUCAGCUAUUAUUUUCCUUUACCAGCACUAAGAAUACACACACCUCCACACUUGACAGAUGCAAGGCCCAAGGGUCAGAAGAUGAGUGAUUGGCAGGGGGGCACUGCACCCUCGCCUAGGAAUCAGAGCAAGCAGAAGAGCACUCGCUGUGUCAGGUUGGAAGUGUGCUUCGUGUGUAUCAAUUCCUUACGUCCUCAUCACAUCCUAUGAAGGAGGUUACUCCCUGUCUCCAUUUUACAGAGGAGAAAACUAAGGCACAGAGAGGACAUCGAAAACUAAGUCCAAAGUUUAAGGAUGGGCAUCCCUGGAGGCGCAGUGGUUAAGAAUCCACCUGCCAAUGCAGGGGACACAGGUUCGAGCCCUGGUCAGGGAAGAUCCCACAUGCCGCGGAGCAACUAAGCC